ensembl:lncRNA
AACACAAAGAAGAAGAAGAAGAAGGAGAAGGCGGAACUGAUUGAUUUUAAUGCAGCUUGAAAAUUAGUGAUUCAGAGGAUCCCGAGCUGGAGGAAGAGCUUCAGGCUGCUGACGAACUCCUUCAAGAUAUGCAGAAUGAUGCACAGAGUGUCCCCAGUGUCCAGAGAUCAGCAUCAAUGUCCACGUGAAGAACCUAGUUAUGUUGCCAGUGUCAACCCAACAAAAGUGUAUGGAACUGAGGUGCUCCGUCAGGAGCUCCUUCAGUUGUUGGAGGAUGGAGAAGAGGACGCAGCCAUGACUUGUGAGAUGGCGUCUGAGUCAGCUGCUACUCACUGGGCGAUCAGAAACAUGGUGUCCUCACAAAAGUGGAAAGAGGCCAGGCCUUGUCUUACAGACAAUAUGUUAGCUGCUCUGGAUCCACAGUCACACCGUGUGUGUCAGUGUGGCAAACAAGUAGUUGUGAGGUGUCUGGACUGCCUGCCUCUUCCGUUCCUUUGUGCUGACUGUGAUAUUGCAGUUCACACACGCUUUGUCCUGCACAACAGAGAGGCAGUAACAGGAGGGUUUUUGCAGCCUUCAUCAGAGUUUCACAAGCCAAUAGUUCAGCUGUUGCCUGUGCAAAGGCCAGACCAUGUGUGUGACUGCCCAGCAGGUAACGUUGAGGUUUCACCCGGCGCAAUUGUGGCUCUUGUAACCAUAAAUGGCCGUUAUAACCUUGCACUGCCAGUGGUGAGCUGCACCAGCUGUGGCCUAAUGUGGUCCCCCUCAGUUAAGGACAUCCUGGGUAGUGGAUAUUGGCCUGGCACCUUAAAUUUCUGCACCCUGUUUUCAAUGGAUUUCUUUCAGUCUUUCUAUGACAUUAAGAAGGCUGCACCAGGGAUGUCACUUAAGGCAUUUGUCAAAAUGCUAGAUGAAAGAACAGCCCAUUUUAGAAGGACUGGCCGAAUAUCAGCUGAUGCCUUCAGUAAAAGCUUGUGGAGUGGAGUGCUGUAAAGUUUAAGGUGGACAGGAUGUGCAAGGAGCCAAGGAGCCAUGCAUUAGCUGCCCUGCCUGCACUCCAGACAUGCUUGCCGUCUCAGUUGAUGGAAACCGUAAGCUUUAUCGCUUUCAAUCUAAUGCAAGGUACGUUAUGCAUUGUGUACAUAAAUCAAAUAUGGCUUUGUAGAAAAAUGUAUUUUAAUGUUUCUUUUCAAACAACUGUCACUCUGUCCGUUCAGCACUUCAGAGCAGGCGAACUUUGAAGGUGUCUUCAUUGAAAAAGAUGAGGAAGUUGCUGAGUUUAUGAAAUACAUACAGAGACACACAAAUCGUGUAAGAGACACAUAUAUAUUAGUGCUGUCAGCGGUAAUCUUGUUAAAAUGACGUUAGCGCCAUAACCACAUACACAUACGUGUGUGUGUGUGUGUGUGUGUGUGUGUAUACAUAUAUGGAUGGGUGGAUAUUUAUUUUAUUUUUCUCUUGGUGUGGUCGUAAUACUAUUUACUUUACUUUAUCUUAAUGUGUACUUAAUUUUGUCACCAUGUGUAUUAAAAAAAAACAUGAUUUUUAUUUUGUGUUAUCAGUGCUGUCCCGGGGAGAUGAGGUCUUGUGUGACUUAAGGUUAAUUCAUCUAAUUGUUAUGCAUUUGUUUAAAAAAAAAAAAUUGUCCCUGAUAGGGCUUAAUCAUGUCAUGUCUUUUAUGUUAAAAUCUUUGAGUGUAUAGGUCCCGGGGAAAGGGUUGUGCGGAUCUUCAUCUUGGACUGCAGCAAAGGAGUCCACUGGGAAGUUGGAUGAAGAGGGCAUGGAAAUAGCUGUUUGUCGCCACGGAGUCCUCUUAGCUGCAUUGAACAUGUUUCGAGGGGAGAUCUUUGCUUACCCCCUUUUUCUCCAGAGGAAGUUGGCAGCUAGCGUCCCAGGACAUAUUACGUUCCUUUGCUCCGAUGUGGCCUGUAAAUAUUUCCCAUAUUUAACCAAGGUGGCUCAGCAGUGCCCUGAGCUGAGGAACCUCUUGUCAAUGCGUCCUUUUCUCUCCGUCAUGCAUGCAAAGGCUCACACUUGGAAAUGCGAGAUCAAAUGGGGAGGUGCGUUUCAGGAUGGGGCCGGUUCAACAGUUGGAGAAGAGGUGGAACAAGUAAACAGUUUCCUGUCUAGGGCGGCCAUUGAAGUACAUGUCCAAAGCAGGGCGAACAGACUUGCUGACCAUCCUGGCUUCGGGGUGGAACAAAAGGAAAGUGGAACAACUGGGCCGCAGUUUGAGCCAGAGAUAUCUAAAGAUCAUAAGGAUCCUUAGAGAACAAGUGGAAAGCCUGAAUGCGACCAGAAAUGAGCUGGGUGUGGAUGACGACGCACUGCAGCAAUGGGUGGCCGAUGUGCAGAAAUGGCUGAAGAUAGUAACAAGAGGCGACACAGAAUUCGCAAGGUCAUCAUAGUUGAGAAGAAAUGCUUGGCGGCUGCUGUUGACGACUACAACAAGCUUGCUGAACCAACAAAGCAAAUCGUAUCCAGUGAUGCCCUCAUGCAGACCGACAUUUGGCCCUGGCAGAGCACAAGUGAACCUGCUGCUGACCUCCAGACAAAGAGAAAGGUCUUUGAGAAGGUGAUGGCUGUGAGGCGCCUGAGAGAGGAGGAGAUGAUCCUUUGCAGGGAGAUGCGGCAUCACUGGACAGUGUUGUGAAUGCGAUCUGUGGUGUUGGGGACAAUCUCCUCAGACUCCUCCCUUGUUGGCAUGUCAGAGGAUGCACAGAAGGGACUCCAUAGCCUGGUUUUAAAAAAACAAAGUGAACUGAAAGCUGAAAUGCUCAAAGUAAAGGAUGUGUACAAGAGAAUCCUCAGCCACCAACCACUCCUGGAAAUGGACUCAGAGGAGGAAGACAUUCCAGACGAUGCCGCUGAGAGUGAUUUGAGCACUUCUGAUGAAGACUGGUUGUGUCAUCAUUGAUGUUAUGUUUGGUAAAAUAAAAAGUUAAUCACA